rnacentral:rRNA from 1 species
UGGCUGUCGUCAGCUCGUGUCGUGAGAUGUUGGUUAAGUCCGCACGAGCGCAACCCCUGCAUUCAGUUGCCAUCGGGUAAUGCCGGGCACUCUGGAAGGACUGCCAUCGACAAGAUGGAGGAAGGUGGGGAUGACGUCAAGUCAUCAUGGCCCUUAUGUCCAGGGCGACACACGUGCUACAAUGGCCGGCACAACGGGAAGCGAGUUCGCGAGGACGAGCGGAUCCCUCAAAGCCGGUCGCAGUUCGGAUUGAAGUCUGCAACUCGACUUCAUGAAGCUGGAAUCGCUAGUAAUCGUGGAUCAGCCAAGCCGCGGUGAAUACGUUCCCGGGCCUU